UACGUAGGGUGCGAGCGUUGUCCGGAAUUAUUGGGCGUAAAGAGCUCGUAGGCGGUGUGUCGCGUCGGCCGUGAAAACCUGGGGCUUAACUCUGGGCGUGCGGUCGAUACGGGCAUCACUAGAGUUCGGCAGGGGAGACUGGAAUUCCUGGUGUAGCGGUGAAAUGCGCAGAUAUCAGGAGGAACACCGGUGGCGAAGGCGGCAUCCUGGACCGGCAUUGACGCUGAGGAGCGAAAGCCAGGGGAGCAAACGGG
rnacentral:rRNA from 1 species